rnacentral:rRNA from 1 species
GUCCACGCCCUAAACGAUGGACACUAAGUGUCGGCGGGUUACCGUCGGUGCCGCAGCUAACGCAGUAAGUGUCCCGCCUGGGGAGUACGGCCGCAAGGUUGAAACUCAAAGGAAUUGACGGGGGCCCGCACAAGCGGUGGAGCAUGUGGUUCAAUUCGACGCAACGCGAAGAACCUUACCCAGGUUGGACAAGCAGGUAGUAAGAACCUGAAAGGGGGAUGAGCCCGCAAGGGCAUCCUGCUCAGGUGCUGCAUGGCUGUCGU